GACGAACGCUGGCGGCGUGCUUAACACAUGCAAGUCGAACGGAAAGGCCCUGCUCUUGUGGGGUGCUCGAGUGGCGAACGGGUGAGUAACACGUGAGUAACCUGCCCUUGACUUUGGGAUAACUUCAGGAAACUGGGGCUAAUACCGGAUAGGAGCUCCUGCUGCAUGGUGGGGGUUGGAAAGUUUCGGCGGUUGGGGAUGGACUCGCGGCUUAUCAGCCUGUUGGUGGGGUAGUGGCUUACCAAGGCUUUGACGGGUAGCCGGCCUGAGAGGGUGACCGGCCACAUUGGGACUGCGAUACGGCCCAGACGCCUACGGGAGGCAGCAGUGGGGAAUAUUGCACAAUGGGCGGAAGCCUGAUGCAGAAACGCCGCGUGCGGGAUGACGGCCUUCGGGUUGUAAACCGCUUUCGCCUGUGACGAAGCGUGAGUGACGGUAAUGGGUAAAGAAGCACCGGCUAACUACGUG
rnacentral:rRNA from 1 species